rnacentral:rRNA from 1 species
AUUGAACGCUGGCGGCAUGCCUUACACAUGCAAGUCGAACGGCAGCACGGGAGCAAUCCUGGUGGCGAGUGGCGAACGGGUGAGUAAUGUAUCGGAACGUGCCUUGUCGUGGGGGAUAACGUAGCGAAAGCUACGCUAAUACCGCAUACCAUCUAAGGAUGAAAGCGGGGGAUCGCAAGACCUCGCGCGACAAGAGUGGCCGAUAUCAGAUUAGGUUGUUGGUGGGGUAAAGGCCUACCAAGCCGACGAUCUGUAGCUGGUCUGAGAGGACGACCAGCCACACUGGGACUGAGACACGGCCCAGACUCCUACGGGAGGCAGCAGUGGGGAAUUUUGGACAAUGGGGGCAACCCUGAUCCAGCCAUGCCGCGUGAGUGAAGAAGGCCUCGGUU